UAGCACACAGUUGUUGAGUUUGACUAAAUUCACUAAAUUUAAAGCCAUUAGAUAAGAAUACAGUCUUUCAGCUGAACCUCAAAAUACAGCAUGUUGGGGGGUAAAAAACCCAAGAAAAUCAAAUAACUUUUGAAGAAAACAGGUUAUUUUUUUCAGUGCUAAGAUAAGUUUUUAAAGAAGUUCUUAAUUUCAAAGUACUUACAAUUUUAAGAAAUAGGUUCCGAGCAGGAAAUGUCUUGCAGCCUGGGAGGGAAUCUCACCAGAAGUGAAAGCCGAGAGAAAGAGGAGGUAACUAUGUUUCCGUGUCGGUGUAGAGUACAAAGGACAAUUUCAGAGGCUUUUAUUGGCCAAUGUAGUCCAGGCAGGGAUGGCCUUCAACUGAUUUUGAGAAUGACAAUCUCUCUUGCCCAGUGUGUUCCUUUUCCCGUGUUAUCUUAGGGACACUCACACAUCUUUGGAGGGAGGGGAGAUUCGAUUCAUUAUAUGGUUUGAUUGUUUUGACAUUUUUGGCAGAGCUUACUGAUUUUUAAAAUUUACUUUCCCCCUGUAAUACAAUGAAUGAUGACUAGUGUAUAUGUAUUGCCAUCUUUUUCUUGCAGAGCAUACAGGUGGUAUUUGGGAGAAAGCAGGCUGCCUGGACUUCCAUAUCUGAUCAGAUGUUUCUUUUUCCUUCUUCUUUGGACUCCUUUGCUUGUCUUCCCUAACACUGAACACUCACUCUGUGUUAGGCACUGUCCUGAAGUUUUGCAUGUGUUAACUUUUUGAAUUCUACCUACAAUUCUGUAGGGGUCAGUACAAUUAUUACCCCCAUUUGACUGAUAAGGAAACUGAGGCAAGCCUUAUCAUUUCUUUAAACAAAGGGCCAGUUUCUUGUGAAAGUUCAAUUCAUUAAUGUUGUUCCAACCAGAGAAUUGGCCAGUAUAUAAAUAUUUUCACAGAAAGUUAAACAUGUCCAGAUGCAAGCGAGGGCAAAAUAUUUAAAUUCCUCCACAGGCUUUUAUCGGGUCCUGUGUAAAUUCUCUUAGUUUCCGGCGCUUGUACUCCGGCCCUGUGGCUAUAAACGUGGCAUUCCUCCAGAUGAAGUGGUAUCCUGUCCUCAAAGGAGGACUGUGAUGCCAAAGAUCAUUUUGGUUUAUCGUCCUUUGUUUUUUUAGUUAAAGCGUACAAACUAGAUCUAAAUCUUUAAACUUCGUGGGAAUAGAAGAGUGAAGAGUCUGUGUCCCCCCAGUGUGGACGAGCCAGCUUUGGCAGACAGUGCGGUGCGGAGAGGUCGUGUAGACGACAUAGUUACGCCCCAGCCAAGCAGCCUCUCCCGACGAAGGAAGCGAAAUGGAUAAAAACCAUCUGAUUUAUUAUUACAACUCAUGUAGUAAAGGAGAAGAUAAAUAUUGCAAAAGCAGUAUCUCUGGAAACCUGUCUCUGUGAUUAGGUUCUUGUUCCCUUGUUCCCUUCAAGCUCAUGCCAGCAACUGAAGUCAGUCCUUGUCUGAUGGACACACAUCCUAGAAUAUGGCUUCAUGGUCGUGAGCGUGUGCUAUGGAAGAGGUUGGGACAUUUGUUUCCCUGGAAAAAUUACAGGCUGGAGCAGAAACUGCAGUUUCAACCCGUGAUAGGCAUGGGCUUGCCGGGCACGUGGGAGAAGUAUGACGAAGGAUGCUCGGUGGCCCCUGUGUGUCCCUCAGUCCUGGUCCAUCGGCUUAGUGGGAGCCUGGGUUCUUAGCUGUGUGGUUCGGUUUCACAGUGUCAGCACUGCACCCGCGUACUGCUGCACUCAGCUCUGUCAUCGGGCCCUGCGACCCUCCAGAGAUCGUGAACCUGCUCCCCAGUGUCAGGGAAGACUCCUGAUUCCUUUCGGCUUCCCCCCCUCCAACCAGGAAAGAAAAACGUGGUGUAUAUGAGAAACUAUAGCUAUGGCGGAAGCUUCCAGGGACUUUAGAAAACUUUAAUUAUUGUACAAACCUGCCAAUUCUUGACCAAGGGGGAUAAAAGAACAUAGAAUUAAAACAGACACCAAGGCUUGAGGGCGUCCUGGGAAAGGCAGUAAGUAAUUUGGCACACAUUAAAACUUAAAAAUACUUGCUCAAGAUUCUGACCUCCUCCCUGCAUGACGGAGAAAUGGAAUCUUCGUUUAAGAAGUUGGAAACAGUUGAAGAUGCUAAUGAUGACAAAUAGUAGUAACUACUUAAGAGUUUGACAGUUGCAGGACUUUCUCCAGAAAAAUUACAAAUGUCUAUUUUUAAAUGUUUUAAUUUUCAUGCAAAUGAUUAAACAUUUUCAAAUGCUA